UACAAUAUUUAGUGGUAGCUUAUUAUUGGUGACUGUCAGUUAAUUUACAUAUGGCAGAAAUGUAUGGAAAAAUCCAUUAAAGACGUAAUCAUACAGACAGUGAAAACUAUUAAU